GCAUGUUCACAUGAUUAAAGGUAUUCCGGUAGACGAUGGGGAUGCGUUCCAUUAGAUAGUAGGCGGGGUAACGGCCCACCUAGUCUUCGAUGGAUAGGGGUUCUGAGAGGAAGGUCCCCCACAUUGGAACUGAGACACGGUCCAAACUCCUACGGGAGGCAGCAGUGAGGAAUAUUGGUCAAUGGGCGAGAGCCUGAACCAGCCAAGUAACGUGAAGGAUGACUGCCCUAUGGGUUGUAAACUUCUUUUAUAAAGGAAUAAAGUCGGGUAUGCAUACCUGUUUGCAUGUACUUUAUGAAUAAGGAUCGGCUAACUCCGUGCCAGCAGCCGCGGUAAUACGGAGGAUCCGAGCGUUAUCCGGAUUUAUUGGGUUUAAAGGGAGCGUAGAUGGAUGUUUAAGUCAGUUGUGAAAGUUUGCGGCUCAACCGUAAAAUUGCAGUUGAUACUGGAUAUCUUGAGUGCAGUUGAGGCAGGCGGAAUUCGUGGUGUAGCGGUGAAAUGCUUAGAUAUCACGAAGAACUCCGAUUGCGAAGGCAGCCUGCUAAGCUGCAACUGACAUUGAGGCUCGAAAGUGUGGGUAUCAAACAGGAUUAGAUACCCUGGUAGUCCACACGGUAAACGAUGAAUACUCGCUGUUUGCGAUAUACAGCAAGCGGCC
rnacentral:rRNA from 1 species